rnacentral:rRNA from 1 species
UACGUAGGUGGCAAGCGUUAUCCGGAUUCACUGGGUGUAAAGGGAGCGUAGACGGCCAUGCAAGCCUGGAGUGAAAGCCCGGGGCCCAACCCCGGGACUGCUCUGGGAACUGUGCGACUGGAGUGCGGGAGGGGCAGGCGGAAUUCCUGGUGUAGCGGUGAAAUGCGUAGAUAUCAGGAGGAACACCGGCGGCGAAGGCGGCCUGCUGGACCGCGACUGACGUUGAGGCUCGAAAGCGUGGGGAGCAAACAGG